UGCUAUCUGCAGUCGAGCGACUGAUUAGAAGCUUGCUUCUAUGACGUUAGCGGCGGACGGGUGAGUAACACGUGGGCAACCUGCCUGUAAGACUGGGAUAACUUCGGGAAACCGAAGCUAAUACCGGAUAGGAUCUUCUCCUUCAUGGGAGAUGAUUGAAAGAUGGUUUCGGCUAUCACUUACAGAUGGGCCCGCGGUGCAUUAGCUAGUUGGUGAGGUAACGGCUCACCAAGGCAACGAUGCAUAGCCGACCUGAGAGGGUGAUCGGCCACACUGGGACUGAGACACGGCCCAGACUCCUACGGGAGGCAGCAGUAGGGAAUCUUCCGCAAUGGACGAAAGUCUGACGGAGCAACGCCGCGUGAGUGAUGAAGGCUUUCGGGUCGUAAAACUCUGUUGUUAGGGAAGAACAAGUACAAGAGUAACUGCUUGUACCUUGACGGUACCUAACCAGAAAGCCACGGCUAACUACGUGCCAGCAGCCGCGGUAAUACGUAGGUGGCAAGCGUUAUCCGGAAUUAUUGGGCGUAAAGCGCGCGCAGGCGGUUUCUUAAGUCUGAUGUGAAAGCCCACGGCUCAACCGUGGAGGGUCAUUGGAAACUGGGGAACUUGAGUGCAGAAGAGGAAAGCGGAAUUCCAUGUGUAGCGGUGAAAUGCGUAGAGAUGUGGAGGAACACCAGUGGCGAAGGCGGCUUUUUGGUCUGUAACUGACGCUGAGGCGCGAAAGCGUGGGGAGCAAACAGGAUUAGAUACCCUGGUAGUCCACGCCGUAAACGAUGAGUGCUAAGUGUUAGAGGGUUUCCGCCCUUUAGUGCUGCAGCUAACGCAUUAAGCACUCCGCCUGGGGAGUA
rnacentral:rRNA from 1 species